GAAUGACAUUCUGCAGUAAGACCUGUCAUGAAUAUUGCUGAGAGACACAGAGUAUAAUUCCUACCUUAAACUUAAAUUAUAAAACUCUCAAGGAUGUUCUCAAAUAACAUUGGAUAAAUCUAUGCUAUGUCAUUGGAAGACAAAUACUUCUAAAGUAUAUUACACUGUUGUCACCAUUAUUUUUUUUUAUUUGUGAGUAUGUAUAAGGGUUGCUUUAAAACCAAUUUCAAAAUAAAUGAAAAUUGAUACAAAGAAUCCUAAUCAUGAAAUUACUUUUACCUUAAACGUUUCCACAGUUUUUUUUCCUCUCUUUUUUUUUUUCAAGUUGGCUGACUAGGGAUGUUGGAUGCCAGCUCUCCUCAGAAAGAUCAAAGUUACAGGUGAAUGGUCAUGAUUUAAAUGGAAAUAUGAGGAAAUGGAGCAAGGUCCUGUUGGAGCACUCAUGAGAGGAGCCAGGAGCACAAAAGAGGAAAGCAACAAGAGACUGGCAGAGAUUGAUUCUCUAGAAACUUGGACCAUGAAAAGGGUGGGAAGGAGAGAAGACCAUGCUAAAUAUUACUCUUGGAAAAGUACAUGUGCUGCAGAGAAAUCUUUAUUCGUAGGCCUAUAA
rnacentral:lncRNA from 13 species